UUUUUUUUUUUUUUGGAUAUUCUAUAUCUCAUAUCACACAUGAGGUUAGACGGUGUCUGAGUUAUUCCUUCUGGUCUUGAAAGGCAACCAGACAGAGCUCUUAAUUAAUAGUGUUACAUUAAUCACCUAGAGAGAGGCCAGGAGCUGCUGGCUCCCAGCGUGGAGAGAAUGGCUGGGUAGAACAGUGCUGACCACAGGGCUGAACCACAGCCCUGGUCAAUACACUACCAGACUUCCAACUGGCUGUGCAACUGCACAAAACUAAUUUUGACAAGAUGACUUUUAAGGACCCCUCCAGCCCAGGCCACUCUAUAAUUCCAUGAUUCCAAGAUUCAGUUUGCUAAGACUGAAACAUCAAUGGGAAGAUAAAGUACCAUGUGUAUAUGCCCACAGUUUCCCUUCCUCCCCAUCUCAUUCUCACUCACCCAUACACACAUAAUACAUGUGAUUCUGGAUAAUCUAAGUUCUGUCAAAACAGAUUGAGCACAUAGCCUUAAUCAUCUGAGUCACUCUGCAGGAGAAGUAUCAGUAGAACAGAAUGGAAAAGCUCAAUCAGUUUCAUUCUCUAUGAAAGCCAUUUCUUCCUGGCUUUCAAGAGCUCGCUUCUGCCCCCUCCCCUCUUAUUUCUGACUGCCAUUUCCAGGAAGUAGUUUAACCAUUUUCCAUAGAAACAUUUUUUUUUUCCUCACUGAGAAAACGUUUAAUGUUUCGGCUGGGCUAAAAUAAUAAUUACACAAAAGCGAACCUAAAAAUCAUCAAAUAGCUCUUACUGUGUAGAUGUGGAGGAUAGUGGGAGGAAAAGAAAGUAGGAAGAGAGAAGUCACAACAGAAAUUCUUUCUCUCAAAACGUAUUUUUUUCUGAAUCAAAAUAGAUUUUAACUGCUUUUAACUGAUGCUUUGUAACAAUAUCCAUUCCUCACUAUGAAAAUGAAGUCUUCAAAUAGAGCACAACUGAAUUAUUUCACAUACCAGUUGGAAAGCAAGAGGCCUCUUAUGACCUUGAGAAAUGUUUUGAUCAGUGACACUUUCAAUGAUGUCAGGAAACUGUACCUUAUUGGAAUAAAGGAAUUGCUUUCAGAAAGUGUGAUAUAAUUCCAGCUCAACUUCUCCCAAAGUUUGUGGGUAUUUUCAGAUAAAUUCUGAAGUUCUUACGCAUACUCAGGAGUACCUCAAGUUGUGACUGACUAAUUAAUUAAUUUUUCCAAGAAUAUUCAUAAAAUAACCUGUUAUGUAAGCUGAGCUUUUUCAGAAGAGAUAGAUGGAGAAGCAUCAUUCCUUUAAAAAUGAAUAGUGAUGUGGCCUUCAGGUUUUAAUAAAUUUUAACUUAGUGGUGCCUGGUACAUGUUUACUCAUUGACCAUGAAUCAGCUGUGUAUGGACAGUGAGAUUUGUUUCCUGUCAGCCUCAGCUAGAGCAUAUGAUUUUCAGUAACCGUAAAGAUUCUAGUACAGAAGGUAUCAUAUGGAAAGGGUGAUGUCUAUUUCACAUGUCUAAAUCUUUGCCUGACUCAUAGAGUUAGGAAUGUUUGAACUAUUUAAAGGUAUUAUAUGUGCAUUUAAAGUUAGGCCAUAUGUUUAAAUACCAUAGUUAAUUUUUUUUUGUUGUUGUUGCUGUUGAGCCUGGGUGAAUUGUUGUCUCUGCAGUAUUCUGUGACAUUACCACAGCCAAUAAUUUUGUGUCUUGUAGGGUCCUCAUUUCAACAUUUCUGUGGAAUAUUAUUAAAGUAUCUGCUUCAGCCCAACUUCCUUUGCUUCAUUUUAGCUUUUUAAAUUUUUCUAGUAUUUCACAAAGUGUAGACAUUAAGAACAGUAAUAGUACUUCAUGUGUUGUCAAUAACAGAGUUGGAGAAAAGCUACUGGCAAAGGCUAAAACACCUUUCAAACCCUUACUUCCAGAAAUAAAGAUACUCACUCAUCCACUUAGAACUGCGCUUGAACACUGACCAGGCAAAAGAUGAAUAUAUUAGACACUAUAUAUAGGAAAUAAGGGGAUGAGAUUGCAAUUAUAGAUUUUAUGUAGCAAUGAGGAACCUCAGAAGAGCACACCUAUUUCUCCCAGUGAUGAAAAUUUGGCUGUAAAAGUCACUUAAAAUAUUAUGAGUGCUUUACAGAGCAAAGCAAUGACACAUUUGUGAAGUGCAACCUCUAAAAAGCUUUUUAUACUUGGAUCACCAGUAUCACCAGGGUAUUAUGUGUUGGUUUGAUAGACAGUACAUCUUCCUUAGGAAAUACUUGGGUCAGUCGCAGUGCCUGCUUUGUGUAUUAGGACCUGAGAUAUCAUGUUUUACAAGCAGAGAUGUCUGUUAGAUACCUUACAAGUGCAUUUUAUAUAGACUGUGUAACCAAAAUAUAGAAGGCUAACUGGUACAAAACCUCAUUAAGUUGGACAACAGUAGUGUUACAGAUGUGGACUCCCCAAGGAACUUUGUCAUUUUAAAGCAUUAGGGUCAGUUUGACUUCAGGAAGACUGCAUUUUGCAUGUGUACUAUGGGAUAAAAGUCAGCUUUUACAGAGAGCUUUCUACCUAUGAGAGUUGCAGGACUGCUGUUGGCAUUUCUCUUUUGCUGGGCUGUGUUCCCAGUCCCACUCUGAGACUUUGGGCAGCCUCAUGAUAGGGCUGGCAAAGUACACAAAUAAUACAGCAACAGUGACCAGAUAGGAGGGAACAAUACCCUCCAUAAGGUAUUUUUAUCAGUGAAUAUCAGUGGUACCAUCAGUGACUAAACAUUCUUCACUACAUGCAGUAGGAAAGGUAUAACAAGUGGCUUCAAAUAUGUGGUUUGCUGAAAAUAAGGUAUUUUAUUGGAACCGUCUCUGAAAGGACAUUUUGUUUUUCUUAAGUUACAAUUUUCAUUUUGUUUCAGCACUAUCAAAAUCAAAUAAUUUUGUCUGGCAAAUUAUUUUUCAUUUGGUUUCAAAUAUUUUUUUUCAAAUAAACUAUUUGAAUUUGUUAGUACACCCAAACAUUCCUCACAAACCAUUAAUUUAAAUACAUGUCACAUUAAUGUAUUUUAGUGAUUCAUAAAUGUUCUGCUUUUUGGAGAAGUUGUUUUGCAUAUGCAUUCACACAAACCGCUACUUCUAUCCCUACCUUUUUUUAUGACAAAUUUCAAUUUUGAUUUUUUUUUUAAUCUGAUCCAGAAUGAAUAAAACAUAUCAAUCUAAAUUUCCUGUACAACAGACAUUAUAUUGUCUAGUUAUUCCAUUCUAUGUGUAUUUUUAAAAUUCCUUCUGUUAUAAGACUGUACCAGUCUGAAUAUCUGUUUCAUAUUAUGCAUAUUUAUGCCUGAAAUUUACAGUAAUUUGGGAACAAACACAUCUGUUUUUUGGUUAUUUAAACCUUUGAUUUUGUUUGUAGUUUAUCUGUAUCUGCAUGGACGGAAUAGCAUAAGAUAAAUUUUUUAAUAUUUGUUCAGAAGAUCUUGAUGACGCAGAAUGCAAACUAUUGUGUUAAAAAAAAAGCUCUUAGUGUUUCCUAAAUUAAAUAGACAAAUAUGUUUCUUUCCCUAUUUUAUGUGAAUAAAUAUAAAUAAUUUUUAUAUUAAUAAUUUCAUGUGAAAGACACACAUGCUAUUUCAUUUGAAAAUAGAGAAAAAGCAAAACAAAGUUGAAACUUUUUGCCAGAAGUCGUUAAUCUCAGCUUUAGUUUAUAUGCUAUGUAACAAGAUUAUUUUUAAUGAAGUAGAGAUGUGGAAUAGCAAGCUGCUCUGCUCAUAUCUUUGUUGUUUAUCUUGGAAAUGAUAAACUGAAAGAUGCAAAUGUGUUGUCUCCUAAUAGAAAUAUGUUUCUUUGAUUUGAUGUCUCCCCUCUUUGAGGAGACAUUACUGCAGAGGAGAUGAUAUCAAUGUCUCACUUUGGUAACCUUAAGGAGAAAGUAUAUACAUAUAUAGGAGAGACCUAUAAUGUUUCUACCUGCCAGAAUAAAUCAAGCUUCUGCAAGGAAAAAAUGUGCAAAAAAUCUGAUCCACCAGUCUUAUCUUUCUGGUGAUUAGCAAUCCAGUCAUCUGAGGUCAUCACGAUUAUUAACUUCACUGUUGUUUUAUAAUGCCCUAAAAGCUGAACUCAUCCUCUGUAUGAAAAUUCAGUUUUAGCUGUUACUUAAUAUAGCAAGGAAACUUUCUUUUGAAAAUCAUAAACAUCCCUUUGGGUGAGCUUAAAGAAAAUUUAAGAUUAAAUAACUCAUUAUGGAAAUAAGUAGUCUGUUAAAAAAAAAAUGAGGCACUUGAUUUUAUGAACUUAAUAGUAUUCCAUCUAAUCAUAAAGUAUAUUAGAAUGUUCAAAUUAUAAAGAAUAAAACAAAUUAAUAAUCUUUAAAAUGUCUGGUCAACUUCCCCAGAAAAUUUAAGAUCUACUGAUUUCAAGUCAGCUCACAAUGGUCAGGAGACUCUUUUAAAGUUUUACAGCCUUCUAAAAUUACAUCUGAAUUCAUGAACCAAGUGAUCUGUUAAGACUGGAAAAUAUUUUUGUUCAACUCUGCUCUACAUAAUUUCUGAAGUGAUGGUAGUCUGUAUAAAUCAGUUCACCAUGACAGUAUUCAGAAGAUUGAUACCACUGAUUAACAGUGUAUGCAGGAGACAAGGAGAGUCUUUAUAUCCUUUUCUUUCUCAAAUUAAGGACGUGAUUUUUAAUGCCUACUAAUCUCCAUCAUCACUCAGAAGAGAAAAUCCCUUAUGGGUUAUGGGGGUUUCCAGUCAACAUGCAACAGCCACUGCACACUCUGGCAGAGGAGGGGACUUGCCAUAAGCUGAUAUAAAUAUACACAGAGAAAAAGUGUCCUAUGCCUCUUUCCAUUUGGAAUUAUAACUAGUUUAAGCAUAAGACUUAUUCAAUUUGAAUAUUGAAUUUUCAUCUUGAUCAUGCACGGAGUAGAGGGGCAGGUGCUGGCCUCUUCUCUGAGUUGACCAGUGACAGGUCUUGAGGAAGCAGCAUGAAGCUGUGUCAGGUCAUAGGUUGGAUAUCAGGAAAAGGUUCUUCAUCCAGAGGGUAGCUGAGCACUGAACAGGCUCCCCAGGGAAGUGGUCAAGCACCAGCCUGACAGAGUUCAAGAGCAAUGCUCUAUGAUGUAAUUCUUGGGCUGUCUUUCGCAGGGUCAGGGGUCAGACUCAAUAACCUGAAUGGUUGUUUUUGAGUUUAGUACAUUAUAUGUGCUAAUUCUUGAUUCUUGAUUCUAUGAAAAUUCAGUAAAUAAGAUGACAAAAUCUAAAGACAAGAAGCUAACGAAUACAGAAAUUUUCUUCUUUAAAGAAAAUUUAUUCGGCACCAGAUAUAAGACAAAUGCAUUAGAGUCUGAAAUAUAUUAAAAAAGAAAAAAAGACACCCCCCCCCCAAACAUAAAACUAAGGAAGGAGCUUGUUAUGGUGCACUUUCUAUUAAUGUCAUUUGUAUCACAGUUAUCAAGUAGAUUUUCACUUGAUAUUUUGCACUGUAUCAAGUUUAUUUUAAUCAUGGUUAAUUGAACUGAUUAGCAGAUUUUCCUUAUUUUUUCUCUAGACAAUUCUUAAUGCAGAACAACUUCAAACUUAUAACUACCUUAGGAAACUCAUAUUAUUUUUUAAAAAAAUUUUGCUUUUUCUCCAUAAUCUAACCAUAUGCCUUUGAAGUUUCUACUUCACCAACAGGGUCUUAAUUCAUUGGUUGUCUUUUAACAUUUUUUUUAACGCGAUUUACCUUGGAGAGAACUCGAGCCAUAUUAUUGAUUUUUUCUGCUAUAUUUGCUCAUAUAUAAAGAUAAGUAAAAUAAAUUUAAGAUAGCUAAUUCCCUAUCCAAUUAUUCAAGCACUUCACUUAUAUAAUGUAACAUGUAGACAGAGAUGGCUGAUGCUGUUAAGUCUGUGUCAGGUAAAUUCUCCACCAUUAAGAGCCAUAUUAAAAUCAGAGAUUAUUACUGGAUAUUCUUCCUGACAUUCAGAGAUUAAAGUGUAACUUUUCAAGUGCUAUUGACACUAGAAAUUCUUGUUCAAAUAUUUAAAUCUGUCAGGUUUUGCUAUUCAGAAUCUAAUACAUAUAUAAUAUGUCCUAAACUUAUAAUGGUUCUUCAUCAGUUUAAGCCACUAAAUCUUUUAUUGGUUCAAUCAGAAAAAACAAACCCAAAAAUAAGGUAUGGAAUUAUGAUUCCAUUGAAUAAAAGACAGAUCUGUGACUUCUACAUAAUUCUGAGUGCCAGACCAGUGGUCAUGUCUUAUACACGGUGGAAGAGGGGCUCCAUCAGGUUUUCUCUAGGAUAAAGUGAGAUAGGUGUUACUUUGAGAAAGGUUUAGAUUAGAGCAUGAGAUUUGAGACUUGAUAGUAAAGAAAAAAUCCUCAAGAACUUUCUGAUGUUGGGAUUGGUACACAGUCAACAGGUACUGCUAUCCAUAGUCUGCAGUCUUAAAGAGCUCAUAGAGUACACAGUUUUUCACUGAAUGCUCAAGAGUGAGACCACAAGUUAAUAAUGGAUGCAGAAUUCAAAGCUAUUAAGCAAGCAGACAAAUAAACCCACAUUUAGUAACUCCGAAACAAAUGAUAUCACUAGCCUUUCUGAUUGAUAAAAGCUUCUCUUUUGCAUAGGUGGAGUAUGUUUGCUUCACUCAGUUGUCAAGACGAUAUGUGUGCUACAGUUCUUUUCUCUUCCUGUCUAUUUUUUUUCUUGUUUUACUCCUUUCUUAUCCUGUGUUUCCAAAAUGCAACUGCUUGUUUGUUUUUUCCCAGUCAUUGUCUGUGUUAGCAGAAGUCUAACCUGUCCUCAAGUCUUAGUGCCUGAAAGUUUUUGGAAGGAAAAAAUAAGUCUAUUUCUUCAAAUUUCGUUGUGCUUUCAGAGUGCUUGAUAUUUGGAUCAGUUCUGCAUGCCUCUUUCAGGAAAAAAAAAAAAAAAAAAAG
ensembl:lncRNA